AGCCAUGUAUAUGCAAGUAAAAGGUAAAGAGUGGCAAAGCAAGGGAAUUGCUCAUUCGGUCAGUCGCUUCAGCAUUCAGCAUUCUACAGUCGCUGUUUUAAUACCGGAUGAAAUUCUUGUGGAUAGCUGUGGUAAUUUUAGAGCUCAUUCGUCACGUAACUAUUGGAACAAAGCCUCGCAGAUCCUUUUUGCAAGUGAUGUUAUUUGAACAUUUGAAUAUCGAUGUCGAAUCCAUCAUUGAAGAUCGAUGGCCAAGUAUUGGCGACAUGUCUUAUAAAAGCCUGCCUUAUCAACUUUGGUUGGUAAAACGUAUGCCUACUUUGGUGAUAACGGGUAGCGAAGGGUAAGGUUUCUACUGCGGAGAGAGAACUUGAGAGACAACUGACACUUCUAAGGAAGGCACCAGGCA
rnacentral:ncRNA from 1 species